CCAGAAGUGGUCUGCAAAGAGAUGACUGUGGAUCCCAGAUCCACAGUCAGCUCUGUGCUGCCUACAUCUGA
rnacentral:miRNA from 1 species